rnacentral:rRNA from 1 species
CAAUAGCGUAUAUUAAAGUUGUUGCGGUUAAAAAGCUCGUAGUUGGAGUUCUGCCAGGUGCCGCCUGUCCGCCCCAGUGGUGAGUACGUGGCGCGCAUUUGGCCCUUUCAAGGGGAGCGUAUCUGCACUUUAUUGUGUGGUGCGGGAUCCUUGACUUUUACUUUGAGGAAAUAGGAGUGUUCCAAGCAGGCUCUCGUCGUGCACAGCUCAGCAUGGAAUAAUAGCAUUGGACCUCGAUUCUAAGCUGUUGGUUGCCAGAAGCGAGGUAAUGAUGAAGAGGGAUAGUUGGGGGCAUUCGUAUUUAACUGUCAGAGGUGAAAUUCUUGGACUUGUUAAAGACGGACUACUGCGAAAGCAUCUGCCAUGGAUGUUUUCAUUGA